ensembl:lncRNA
GCCGGGAGCGGAGGGGAAGUGCUCCCCCGGUGGGCGGCAGCCGGGGAGGAAGAUUCCACACAUUCCUGGACGCGGAGGAGGCUGCCGUCGGCGGGGCGCCCUGAAGCUCCUGCAACGUUACGGGACGCCCCGCGGCCUUAUAUGGACCCGCCGGGGCCUGGCGGCGCCACUAGGCUAGAAACUGCCAGGCCCGGGCCCUCCGCAGCACUCCGGAGUCCUCCCCAGUCCCGUCCAGGGCGCUGCGCCUCCCUCUCUGGUCUGCUUCUGCGACCCUGGGCGAGUCGCCUGUCCUCUGUGACUCAGUGGCCCUAAAGGAUGGUGAGGGUACCUGCCCCAGAGGCUUGCAGGAUGGGCGUGGAGUCAUCGUUCAGAGGAGCUGAACACUCUGGGAGUGGCAAGCAGGGCAAACUGUGAGGUGCUGAUGGUUGCAGGAGUGAGAGUGAAGGGCCUUUUCCCUCCGCCUUGCAACCCCUCCUCCCACUCUGCUGAGUGUACCGCCCUUGACUUCAUGGGGGACACUUCACUCAGCCAGUAUAUACUCAGGCUGUGGACACCAGCAUGUAUCCGUGCAUCCCCCAUUAGGACAUGUGGCCCAUCUAGGAUGACUGGCAGCUAAGGAACAGGAAGUAUGCCCCUCUGGACACUGGGUUUUAGCCCGGGUGUUGGGACUGGUCUUGCAGGGGAGAGGAGAGGGCAGGAGAGAGGGCUUACCUGGAGUCACCCUUUGGGUGGGUCUGGGGGUUUCAUUUCCUUUUCCUACAGUGAGUGUGUACACGCCGGCUCCAGACCUCAUCCAGGUGUUCUCAUUAGACGCCGAGUCCAGGUGAUUCCCCUCUCACCCCUAUCCUGCUCACACAGAGAAAGAAGACUGUGGGCAGGUAGUUUAUGAAUCGGGCAUGUUCCAGAAGAAGUAAAGUGCCGGUGCCAAGGAGGAUGGCCGCGCCUUGCAGACAUUGAGGAGCGAGCAGCAGUGACUGACCAGGUAGUCCGUCCUCUGUGGACCCUCCCAGGUGUGAUUCGGAGAACGAAGGAAAUGCGAACAACAGCAGAGAUUCAAGUCGCUCCUGAGCAUUCUGCCCUCUUGUUCACAUACCCCAGUAUGAU